AUAUCACUCACCAUCCAGGCAGGGGACAGUUAAAUACAUCUUAGGGUGAAAAUGUCUCAAGCAACAAGGCAAAGCAUCAUGAAGAGGCUGUUGAGCACUGUGCUGGGGCUUUUGUGCACCCAUGUUUGCUGUGUGAAAGGGCUGCAGGUGGAGCAGAAUCCCUCAGCCUUGAGUCUCCAGGAAGGAGCCAGUUCCACACUGUGGUGCAACUUUUCCACCUCUGUGAACAAUGUGCAAUGGUUUCACCAAAAUUCUGAGGGCCACCUCAUCAACCUGUUUUACAUUCCUUCAGGGACAAAGUGGAAUGGAAACUUAAAUGCUACGAAAAAGGAACGCCACAGUACAUUGUUUAUUUCCUCUUCCAAGACCACAGACUCAGCCACUUUAUUUCUGUGCUGUGGAGCCACAGCGCUUCCCGGGCACCUGCAGCCCGUACACAAAUUCUCAGCUGAGCUCAGCUCCUCCCCCAACCACAAUCACAUCACAGGAUCACCACACAACAUUUGCACUGCUCAAUAUUCUAAACCCACAUUGGCAGGGUUUUAG